rnacentral:sRNA from 1 species
UCGAUCAUGUCAAUUUUUCCGGGGGGAAAAAUUGGACUGAUCCAGUUUUUCCCCCCGGAAAAAUUAGCAUGGGGGA